rnacentral:rRNA from 1 species
AAUACGUACUGUGCGAACGUUAUUCGGAAUCACUGGGCUUAAAGGGUGCGUAGGCGGCCGAUUAAGUAGGGUGUGAAAUGCCAGAGCUCAACUUUGGCAUUGCGCUCUAGACUGGUUGGCUUGAGUGAGAUAGGGGCGUGCGGAACUUCCAGUGGAGCGGUGAAAUGUGUUGAUAUUGGAAGGAACGCCGGUGGCGAAAGCGGCACACUGGGUCUUAACUGACGCUGAGGCACGAAAGCCAGGGGAGCGAACG